rnacentral:rRNA from 1 species
UACGUAGGGGGCAAGCGUUGUCCGGAUUUAUUGGGCGUAAAGAGCGUGUAGGCGGCCAUGUAGGUCCGUUGUGAAAUCUCAAGGCUCAACCUUGAGCUUGCAGUGGGUACGGGCAGACUAGAGUGUGGUAGGGGAGACUGGAAUUCCUGGUGUAGCGGUGAAAUGCGCAGAUAUCAGGAGGAACACCGAUGGCGAAGGCAGGUCUCUGGGCCACUACUGACGCUGAGAAGCGAAAGCAUGGGGAGCGAACAGG